UACGUAGGGGGCGAGCGUUGUCCGGAUUUAUUGGGCGUAAAGAGCUCGUAGGCGGUUCGAUAAGUCGGACGUGAAAUCUCCACGCUCAACGUGGAGGGGCCGGCCGAUACUGUCGGACUAGAGUCCGGAAGAGGCAAGUGGAAUUCCCGGUGUAGCGGUGAAAUGCGCAGAUAUCGGGAGGAACACCAAUGGCGAAGGCAGCUUGCUGGGACGGUACUGACGCUGAGGCGCGAAAGCGUGGGGAGCAAACAGG
rnacentral:rRNA from 1 species